UAUUCUGCCCCACGGGGAAGGAUGAGAAGCUUCGACUAAGGUUCGACUCGAGCGUAGCGAGAGAACGUUGCCGCAGGCAACGGCCCGAAGGGCGAGGCGCUUUAGCGCCGAGUCAUCCUUCCCCCACUACUG
rnacentral:sRNA from 2 species